GAGUCAUUAGCUCAGUUGGUAGAGCACUUGACUUUUAAUCAAGUUGUCCGGGGUUCGAUUCCCCGAUGGCUCA
rnacentral:tRNA from 1 species